rnacentral:rRNA from 1 species
GACAGAGGUCUCGAGCGUUAGGCGGAAUCACUGGGCUUAAAGCGUGUGUAGGCGGAGUUCUAAGUACCUUGUGAAAUCCCACGGCUUAACCGUGGAACUGCUUGGUAUACUGGUUCUCUUGGGCCACUUAGGGGCUACCGGAACAAACGGUGGAGCGGUGAAAUGCGUAGAUAUCGUAAGGAAGACCAGUGGCGAAGGCGGGUCUCUGGACAGUUCCUGACGCUGAGGCACGAAGGUCAGGGGAGCAAACGGG